rnacentral:rRNA from 1 species
CACGUAGGGCGCAAGCGUUGUCCGGAAUUAUUGGGCGUAAAGAGCUCGUAGGCGGUCUGUUACGUCUGCUGUGAAAACCCAGGGCUUAACCCUGGGCUUGCAGUGGAUACGGGCAGACUAGAGGCAGGCAGGGGAGAACGGAAUUCCCGGUGUAGCGGUGAAAUGCGCAGAUAUCGGGAGGAACACCGGUGGCGAAGGCGGUUCUCUGGGCCUGUUCUGACGCUGAGGAGCGAAAGCGUGGGGAGCAAACAGG